AUUGAACGCUGGCGGCAUGCUUUACACAUGCAAGUCGAACGGCAGCGCGGGCUUCGGCCUGGCGGCGAGUGGCGAACGGGUGAGUAAUACAUCGGAACGUGCCCAGUAGUGGGGGAUAGCUCGGCGAAAGCCGGAUUAAUACCGCAUACGACCUGAGGGUGAAAGCGGGGGAUCUUCGGACCUCGCGCUAUUGGAGCGGCCGAUGGCAGAUUAGCUAGUUGGUGGGGUAAAGGCCUACCAAGGCGACGAUCUGUAGCUGGUCUGAGAGGACGACCAGCCACACUGGGACUGAGACACGGCCCAGACUCCUACGGGAGGCAGCAGUGGGGAAUUUUGGACAAAGGGCGAAAGCCUGAUCCAGCAAUGCCGCGUGUGUGAUGAAGGCCUUCGGGUUGUAAAGCACUUUUGGCGGGAACGAAAAGGACUGUGCCAAUACCACGGUUCGAUGACGGUACCCACAGAAUAAGCACCGGCUAACUACGUG
rnacentral:rRNA from 1 species